rnacentral:rRNA from 1 species
GGGUUUAGACAGUACGCGGAAACCGUAGAGAUACGGUCCCCUGUGGUCGGUGUACAGGUGGUGCAUGGCUGUCGUCAGCUCGUGUCGUGAGAUGUUGGGUUAAGUCCCGCAACGAGCGCAACCCUUGUCUUAUGUUGCCAGCACGUGAUGGUGGGGACUCGUAAGAGACUGCCGGGGUCAACUCGGAGGAAGGUGGGGACGACGUCAAGUCAUCAUGCCCCUUAUGUCCAGGGCUUCACACAUGCUACAAUGGCCAGUACAGAGGGCUGCGGAGACCGUGAGGUGGGAGCGAAUCCCUUAAAGCUGGUCUCAGUUCGGAUCGGGGUCUGCAACUCGACCCGUGAAGUCGGAGUCGCUAGUAAUCGCAGAUCAGCAACGCUGCGGUGAAUACGUUCCCGGGCCUU